AGUGAACGCUGGCGGCAGGCCUAACACAUGCAAGUCGAGCGGCAGCGGGUCCCCGCGAGGGGAUGCCGGCGAGCGGCGGACGGGUGAGGAACACAUCGGAAUCUGCCUGGUUGUGGGGGAUAACGUAGGGAAACUUACGCUAAUACCGCAUGCGACCCUGAGUCGACGGACUGGGGGUGAAAGUGAGGGACCUUCGGGCCUCACGCGACCAGAUGAGCCGAUGUCGGAUUAGCUAGUUGG
rnacentral:rRNA from 1 species